rnacentral:rRNA from 1 species
GACGGAGGGUGCGAGCGUUAUUCGGAAUUAUUGGGCGUAAAGAGCGUGUAGGCGGCCAGUCAAGUCAGAUGUGAAAGCCCGGGGCUCAACCUCGGAAGUGCAUUUGAAACUGGUUGGCUUGAGUUCGGGAGAGGGAAGCGGAAUUCCUGGUGUAGAGGUGAAAUUCGUAGAUAUCAGGAGGAACACCGGUGGCGAAGGCGGCUUCCUGGACCGAAACUGACGCUGAGACGCGAAAGCGUGGGGAGCAAAC